rnacentral:lncRNA from 1 species
GAUCUGUCCUUGCAGCGAUGAUUUUCCCCUCCUGUGUUAGCCAGGGAGGGAAUAGAAGUUAGCCUGCAGCAAGAACAAACAGACCCCAAGGUCUAGGUCACUGCUUUGUGGCUGACAAUCAUCUGAUCUGCCCUUGAGCGCAAAUGGAAAGUCUGGACUCAGAACUGCAGCCAUCACUGAUGCUGCGGAUGCUUGAUGGGGAUAAAUGGAGAAAGCCUAAGAGGCUGCAGGCUCUGAGACUGGCUGUGGCCCCAGAUUCUGGCUCAGCAGACAGAGCGCUUAGGCUGCCCUCACUUGACCUGACUGGAGCGACCAUCUUCCACCCUAUGGAGGCUGCCGGCCACUGAGGGCCCUGGGGCCCAGGCAGAGCUGCUGUGAGCUGGGGUGAGAAGGAGAAACUGGCUGUGAGGGGCUGCUGUGCUGUCCUGUCUACCUGCCAUCCUGAGUGUUUGGGAAGCAGCUGGCAAAUGGCUCUGUCUUCAGGCCUCCAACUUGUGGAAGCUGGGGAAGUUGAAGCGUGGAGACAUUAAGUGUCCAGCCUAAGGCUACAGAGCAAGUGGGCAAACUGAAAUUUGACCCCAGAACUCUGACUCCAAAGCCUGUGCUCACUCCAUUCUACCGAGCAGCCUCCAAGGAGCACCAGAGGAAGUCGUCGCCGCACCUGGCAGCCUUUCCAUCCUGGGGAAGAAGGGCCACGUCCCGGGCCAUGUCAGGCAGGAGGCCCACAGGGGCCAGCCCUUGCGUGGACCACUGGAUGGAGCCACCACCACAGAGGAGAUCUCGUUAUACCAUUCAUUGUCAGAUCAUCUCCCAGGAGCCUCAUUCCUGGGCCCGGGAGGCAGCAUGCUGGUCCGGAUGGGCAAAGCCAGCUGGUCCGCCCUAUCCAAGCCUGUGGCUUCCCUAGUGAGGAGCGUUUUUGUCCAGGCCUCUGUCUGAACUCUGAAUCAAUUCUCAGCUCAUAGAUUUAUGGUGUCCUUGCAGAGUAGCUGCUACCACCUGCCUGGACUCCUGCUGACAAGACACCAGCCACAGUGCAGACAGGACAGCUCACACCUGGAGCAUCACACCCCUAAGCACAAGGGGCCAGGAUGGUCAGCUCGUGUCAGCCAAGGCCACAAGGUGAAGCUGGCAGGCCACAAGGUGAAGAUGGCUCCUAAAGCCUGAUGCCAGGGCAGCUGUCUAGGAGACCCAGGGCAGCAGAAGGUGUAGAGAGAAUAGACCUGAUGUGUUGGGGUUGUGGGGCUGGGAGAGGUUCCCACCUUCAGCCCUGUGCAGAAAGUCCCCUCAGCUGACAUCUCAUUAGCCUGUCUCACUGCCCCCUUCAUUCCAAGAGCCUGGUGUCCCUGAGUUUGUCAGCCCUGAGCAGGUUCUGGGACAACAGUUCUUUCUUCUCUCACAGUCCGUCGGAAUCUGCA